UAGUAAUACAACUUAACCAUGACCACCAUGUGACCCGUGAACUCUGAAGCAUGAUGACGUAGAAGGGAUCAUUUUACUUAAUAAAUAUUGGAAAGUUCAGACCUGUGGUGCAAGCAGAAAAACAUCUUGUUAUAUCCUUACCCUGCCAGUAGGAGGUUCAAGAAUGGCACUGCAGAAAAAGGCUGAAGUGCAGUGAUUGGCCCGUCAAAGCCUGCGUCUUUGUAACUGCAGCACAGACUCAUUAGUUGGUUGGCGAGGAUCCACAGGAUGAGAUGAAUCUGGAGGGCAUAGAGUGACCCCACAGUCAAAUGAUGGUCCGCUGGUGAAAGGAUACAGCUGGCAACUGGUUGUG